rnacentral:rRNA from 1 species
UACAACCCUUUACGAGUAUCAAUUGGAGGGCAAGUCUGGUGCCAGCAGCCGCGGUAAUUCCAGCUCCAAUAGCGUAUAUUAAAGUUGUUGCAGUUAAAAAGCUCGUAGUUGAAUUUCUGUCUAGAAGAUCCUGCACGGCUUAUGUCGAAGCAUGGUUUCUUCUUGGCAUAACCUCAAAAACCGAGUGCACUUAACGGUGUGUUCGGAAUUUGGGGACUUUACUUUGAGAAAAUUAGAGUGCUUAAAGCAGGC